UGCCAGACUCCUACGGGAGGCAGCAGUGAGGAAUAUUGGUCAAUGGCCGAGAGGCUGAACCAGCCAAGUCGCGUGAGGGAUGACGGCCCUACGGGUUGUAAACCUCUUUUGUCGGGGAGCAAAGAGAGUCACGUGUGGCUCAUUGAGAGUACCCGAAGAAAAAGCAUCGGCUAACUCCGUGCCAGCAGCCGCGGUAAUACGGAGGAUGCGAGCGUUAUCCGGAUUUAUUGGGUUUAAAGGGUGCGCAGGCGGGAGAUCAAGUCAGCGGUAAAAUGUCGGGGCUCAACCCCGGCCGGCCGUUGAAACUGGUUUUCUAGAGUUGGAGAGAAGUAUGCGGAAUUCGUGGUGUAGCGGUGAAAUGCAUAGAUAUCACGAAGAACUCCGAUUGCGAAGGCAGCAUACCGGCUCCAUACUGACGCUGAGGCACGAAAGCGUGGGUAUCGAACAGGAUUAGAUACCCGCGUAU
rnacentral:rRNA from 1 species